rnacentral:lncRNA from 1 species
UCUGUCACAUAAACAGCUAUUUUCAAGCAUUACAUAUCAUGUUCAUCCAACAGGGAAAGUGGAGAACCCCUCCAUUAUAAUUUUCCUCAUGAAAAAAAGCAACAAAGAUGAAGAGGCAAUAUUUUUCAUAUAUAUGGAUCCUCUCUGUUAGCAGGAUCUCUGUAAGGAAAGCCUCCACUUGUACAACAGCCCCUCCUCGUGAGAACCUUUCCUUUAGUGUGAAGACAGCAAUGACGGGGACAGCACAACCUCCUCUCCACAUGUUGGAUCAACAUGGACUGAUCCAAGGCAUUUCACUGCCUGCAGUGGAACAGCAAGUGCAGAAGCAGUGGUGGAAUCCAUGCCAAAACUGCAUAUUAUACAGGACUGGCCAACCUAUUUUGGUACCUGAGGAAGGAAAUCCUGCAAGCCUACCUCUUUCAUUCUCUAGCAAUUCCUACUCAUGGUUUCUUUCAACCAACAUGGCCACAGAGUAUUCCAGUUUUACUUCAUUCUUUCUCCACAGGGGAGAUGAAUUCAGCCCAAACUGCUGUGUGCUGUUAAGCUAUUCACUAGCAGAAUAAAUGACCAUGUUUUAGGCAAAAUUUUACUUCUUGUGGGAGAAGGGUAGUAUUUGAUUCGGAAUUUGAUGAAUGAUUCUGUUUCCCAAAGAACUUGCUUGCUGGGAUAUAAAUAACAUAAAUUUAAAAUGAAAACUGUACUCUUUAUCUGCCGUGCUUGUCCAUGCAGUAAUGGAAAAUCACCUAGGCAACAAGGCCCACUGUUACAGUUAAACACUGUGGGAUUUUUCCAUGAAAAGAAGCUCAAUAGCCGAAGAAUAGGUCAAGGGUUUUUUUUUUUAAAAAAAAAAUUAAGGUAGCCCUUGUGUGAAAUAUCUAAUUGGAGUACUUUUGAUAGAUUCAUCUCUCUCUCUCUCUCUCUCUCUCUCUGUCUCUCUCUCUCUCUGUGUGUGUGUGUGUGUGUGUGUGUGUGUGUGUGUGUGUGUGUGUGUGUGUGUUUAAAUGGAGUUUGUGCAAGCUACCCAACAUAUGAUCAGGAGCUCUGCCUUAUCUGCACACUCGCAUAGUCAAUUGCAGAACUGGCGUCCACCUCAUCAAUCAGCUGCCAUUCGCUACAACAAGUUACAGAAACCUAAAAAAACACCAACGGGAUUCUGACAACCAUCACACCAUCAAAAAAAUAAAAAAUAGAGUUGGGGGACUCUCUCA